GAUGAACGCUGGCGGCGUGCUUAACACAUGCAAGUCGAGCGAGAAUUAAGAGUUGGAGACUUCGGUCAAAGACUUUAAGGAAAGCGGCGGACGGGUGAGUAACGCGUGGGUAACCUGCCUUAUACAGGGGGAUAACAUAUUGAAAAGUAUGCUAAUACCGCAUAAGCGCACGGCAUCGCAUGAUGCAGUGUGAAAAACUCAGGUGGUAUAAGAUGGACCCGCGUCUGAUUAGCUAGUAGGUGAGGUAAUGGCUCACCUAGGCGACGAUCAGUAGCCGGCCUGAGAGGGCGAACGGCCACAUUGGGACUGAGACACGGCCCAAACUCCUACGGGAGGCAGCAGUGGGGAAUAUUGCACAAUGGGGGAAACCCUGAUGCAGCGACGCCGCGUGAAGGAUGAAGGUUUUCGGAUCGUAAACUUCUAUCAGCAGGGACGAUAAUGACGGUACCUGACUAAGAAGCCCCGGCUAACUACGUG
rnacentral:rRNA from 1 species